UCAUGCUCUGUCUCUCUCUGUCCCAAAAAUUAAAAAAAUAAAUAAAUAAAUAAAUGUCACCAGGUGACACCGAGCUCAAACUUCUUUCCAGUUUGGCCGGGGUCUGGCUCUGGAGGGCACCGGAGGCAGUGCGUGGUAGCUAGUUCUAUAGAGAAGUUCUGUAGAGGCUGGCUGAAUGGAUGCCAUGUUCGAUGAAACGUUCUCUUUGAACACCAUCUAGAUUGUUCUGAACCUUUACUUCAUAGCCGUGGCUUUGUAGUGACAGGACUCAGGCAGCUGGGAAUCCCGAUUCCUGGUUGGGCAUUUUAUCCAGAAAAUAGCACAUGCUCACUUAGAAAUGUUGGAAUACAUGGAAAAGGAAAAAGAAGGCAAUAAAAGCAUCCACCCAGAAAGCAACAUGGUUCACGUUCUGAUAGAUUUCUCCCCCGUACUUUCUGUCUAUAUGUAAACGUACAGUUUUCAGUGGGUUUAUACCAAUUAUACAGUUUUGUUUCCUGCUUUUUUCACUUCAGUACAUUGUAUUUCUGUGUCACGAAAGAGUUUAAUAUUCUUGACAAACAAUGUUAAGGCUGGCCUAGCACUCCAUGGUAUAUGACCAUGCAUAUUCUUAAGAUAAGUUGUCCACCAUUUGGGGAUGUUGACACAAUUUUCAGUUUUAAAAAUCUUUGUUGAGGUUUUCAUUGUAGUGUUAAUGAAAAUUCUUUGAUUCUUAGCGAGAUGGAAUGUUCCCAUAAAAUUAUCUGCCAUUUAUAUUUAUUUCUCCCAUGCAUUAUUUUUCGGUGCCUUUCCCCCAUUUUCCUGUUGAGGUGUCAACACAACUAUAAAGGGAGUUGCCAUGCUGCAUGCUGUUUCCUCCAGCGUCAGCCCAGACCAUAACUGAGUUACACCACAGCAGCCAGAUUCUGUUAGCCUCACCGGACUCAGGCACAGGAGGAGGACGUGCCCGGUGAUUUUGAUUCCUCCUUGUCCUUUUGUUUCUUGCUUCUACUUUUCCCUUGAAACUGCCAUGCAAGUUACUGCUGCUAUCACGCGCUCUAGAAAGGGUGUCACAGAAAGUCCUCCAACAUCACCCAUCUGUCUUGGGUCGAAAUACUUGAGAAGUGGUGCGCUCUCACAUGGGCUUCCGAGUCAGGUAGACCUGGGGCCCCGUUCCCAAGGAAGAUGCCCCUCUGCGUUCGGGCUCCAUGUUGGUGACGUAGAGACGGCGGCGGUGGCUUGGCAAGAGCACAGCUUCUGGCAAACAGGAAGUACUUCACAAAUACCGGCAACUUGCAGUCUGCACUCCACUCUUGAGUCACGAUUUUAGACGGCCCCAGCCUAACCCUAUCACUUCACAGACUGAGGACACCAGGCCAUUUUCAGAGAGCUCAGGAUUUGUGACACGGUGCCAUGUUGCUUUUUCGUAGGCAGCUAAGCCCCAGAGAGGACGAGUGGCUUGCCCAUGAUCACAGGUUCUUGAAGCACCCCCUCCCCAUGUUCAGCUCUCCCUCUGCUCUCCCGGGCUUUGCCAAGUCCGUGCCUGAUGCACUAAGCCUCUUCGCCAACACCGUUCAUUAACUAGACCCCUUCCACAUUUUCAGUCACAGUGCAGACACUCAGCCUACCGAGCCACCCAGGCACCCCUCAUGUUCAAAGCUGAUACUAUUAAGUGUGUACAUGUGUUUUGUGGGAGCAUGCAAACAGGCCAACCCAUAACCGAUAUAUAUUUAUUGGAUUAGGAGAAGCCUUGGGGGAUCUUCUCAGGCAAGUUACUGAGCGAUUUGGAACAUGAAAAUAAGUAUCAUGAAUCCCUGAACAGAAAUAUUAAUUCACCAAAUACCCACUGCUCUUACCAGACUCUGAGUAACGUUAGCAUGAAUAAAUGAACAAAUGAGCCAGUGAACGAGUGAUGAACGAGCUGUGCCUUCCUCAUUGUGAACAGUUAAAACUGCUUCAGUUGCUGAGGGGGAGCUAGGUCCCUUAGGCAGUCCCUAGGGCAGGCAGCCCAGGGUCCUGCAGGAACAGCCACACCAUCCUGGUAGUUUCAUGCCAGGUUGACUUGGUAUUCCUGUUAUUUUCAACAGGCCUCAGCUGGGGUGUGAGGUCCGAGGCUGCUCCUCUGUGUCCCCCUCUGGGGACCUUCUCUUCUUCCUGCUUAUGGAAGUCCAACUUCCACUCACCACAUGAAAGUUGCUGCCAUCCGCACACAACCUGCCCAAUGGCUUUGUCCUGGGCCCUCUUAGAUAUUGAUUGCAGGAUGGUCACAUAAAAUUAUUGGAAAUGGCCUAUCCACCAGGAAGAAGACAGCCUGUUGUUAUGACCAAUUUUCCAGGACUGGUAAGCAGAUUAUUUUCCAAUAAUUUUAGAUGGUGACUCUGGCACAGAUUAUGCAUGAGGCCCUGUGGGGGGGGGGGGGGGAGGCCGGUUCCACCAUCUGUAGCAGAAUCAAGGAUCAGAAUCCUGGGCCAUGUCAGCCUCUGGGUUCUGCCACUAUUUAAGCAAAUCUCUUGCUGCUGCUGCUCUGAGUCUACCAAGAUCCCUAACAGACCGAGCUCCCUUCUCUAUUCAGAACCUAGUCUCCUAAUCGAUUUGCACAUCGGUGAAAUAUCUUUGGCUGGGAGCACAACCUCUUCAGACCCGCCAGUGCGCCCAGAGUCAUUGACGUGACUCUCGUGUGCGCUUUCUGAGCAUGGCCGUCCCCUUACAUCUGACCUCAGUUGAGGGAGCCAUGCUCAGGAAAAGCAGACAACUGGAGUUCAGAGUGCCGAAAUUCCCUGACACUUGCUUUUGGAUCCAGGGCAAGUCACAGAUGAGCCCCGCAUUUUGCUCCUCUGCUAAACCAGUCACGUAGUUUCUAUCAGUGAAUGAGAAGACUUCAAUGAAAGCAGGUGAAUGGAAAUUUCUCAUAACGUUAUAAGAAGCUGUACACGUAGCAGGUAUUAUUAUUUGGUUAUGCUGAUUACUGUUUAGGAGGUUCAUCUAUGUAGGAUGCCUAAUUGAGGGUCUGAAAUAUAUACCCAGUGCUUAUCAACUGCUAAUUCUCUUCACCUGUUGCUCGAAAUUUAGACCGUGUUCUUGGCCGGUUGCAAUAGGUCUCAACCUUGGCUGCAUAUUGGAAUCACCACAGAAUUGUUAAAAAUACUGGUGCCUGGGUCUUCUCCCCCCAGAUCCUGAUUUCAUUGAUGAUGAGGUAAGAGAUGAUAUCUAUGUACUACAGAAUUUAAAAGCUCCCUGGGUGAUUCUCGCGUGCAGCCAAGUUUACAGGCGCUUGAGACUUGAUGCUCAAAAUGUGGAACCCAGAGCAGUUCCAGUGACAUCACCUGGGUGCUGGUUCCAUUUAAAUGGCAUCUCCCAAGUGAUUCAUAGGCAUGUUAAAGUUUCCAAAGCAUAGUACUGGCCUCUUGGGUGAGAGAAAUUUUCUAGAUGACCAGAAUCGUGUUGUAAUUGCUUGACCCUUUGUCUCUUGCCUCUCUCCAGUGCUAUUGGACCGGUUAGCACACCUCUUGUUUGAACUGCUGGGAUAAGUUGGUUACUGGGGCUGUAGGGAUUCAAAUCUGCUCUGGGUCUCACCCAAGCCUCCCAGUGCACUCCCACUGUCCUCUCUGACAGUCAGUGAUUCACACUUUGGACCUCCUUAAAAGGGGAUGACUGGGCUCAUGGGAAGCCUUACCCUACCUGAGAGGUUUCCCUUUGAGUUACAGGGUUUUCUAAGGUCAGAUCAGAAAGUAAUCUUCACUCAGGGUCCAGCAUUUACCUUCAGAAAGACGAAAAACAUCUAUUGGAUUGCUGUGUUGCAUUGCCCUUUUCUGCCAAGAAAUGACAAAUCAAAGAACCCUAGAGAAUAGGGGAUACUAAGGUGUUACCAUGUUUAACAGGAAACUAUGAGAAAACUGGUUACAGCAAACUCGUGAGUGUUCUAUAAUGUGAAACUUAGCCCAUGGCUCCCCAAAGAGAAACAUUCACCCUUUCAUUGAUCCAUCAAAUAUUCAUACCCGCUUCCUUACAAAAUGCAGAUGGCAUGGCCCCUUACAGCUAAGGAGAUGUUCUUUCAUUAAUGCUAAGAACUCACCUUCAAAGAACUUUAGUUCUUUGCUUAAAUGGCAUCUUAUGAAAGAAGUUAUUUCCCUGACCUCCUACACAGAUCACUCUCUGAGCACUCCUUUUGACCUGUCUUCCCUACUCUGUCUUUUCUCCAUAGAGCUUGGCUGGCACGGUGCCCGAUGUGUGACGCCCUUAGAGAAUGUAAAAUCCACAAAGGCAGAGGCAAAAUGUUCUCUUCAUUGCUGUAUGCCAGCACCUACAUUAGCAUCUGACUCAUGGACUCUCAGUCCCAACUAUAUAUCCAGCAUGGGCAGAAACUUCUGGGCUCUGUGAGGCUGACCCUGCCUUCAAACCUAUUUAGCACUGGCAAAUGUCCCCAUGAUUGCAUUCCUAAACCCCAGGAGAGGAAGGCAAAAUUAAGUUGCUGGAGUCGAGUAAAUCUACAGAUGGAAUGAUGUGGGAACUGUGGGCAGAGAAUAGCAACACACACAGGAUUCAGAUCUCCUUAGAGCCCAAGUGCCGCCCAAAUAUUUGAUGAGAGUUUGCUGUGCACUUCCCAGGGGCAGAUGUUGGAAAGACAGAAGCGCUAUUAUAAGAUCAUGGCUUGAGUUGACGACAGUGAAAUUCUUCCUUCCAUAUAGAGAUGGAAUAGAGAUUCACAAAAUGGAAAACACACUGUUGACUCAGAACUUCUAAACCACUGGAAGUUUCUUCUCUCACUAUGUUACUCAAGUCUGGCCAUCAAAUCCCUUAGGUAGACCUUCUCCCAAAGUUAAACAUGUUUAAAUGGAGACGUGAGAUACCAUGAAAGUCACCACUAUAAAACUAUCAUAAGAUAAAGCAGUAAAAUAAAAAGUCAAAAAUAAAAUGUUUCAGAAUCACUCGGCUUUUCUUUAAAAGCAGCAGCCCCGCUCUCCUGUAGUUUGAGUCUCAGUGGUUGGUGUGGAGGAUUUUUGUAUAAUUGACAGCUCGGCCUUAGCAUCUAAAAUGACUUCUUCCACCAAGAAAGCCAGCCGUCCAGAGUACUGAGUCUGUACAAAAAAGCCUCAGAGGCUCCCUCUUCUGAAAACUGGAUGUGAUUUUAUCCAGAUAAGCCAUUUCUGUUUGGACAGCCAUGCAGGAAGGUGGCCAGUGCGCCAUCUUGCAGCGUGCUGGGCUGGGCCGGCCAGACCCGCUUCUGAGUGCCCGCAGAGCCUGUUCCAGGAGUGCCUGCCUGCUGCCCGGUGCCCCACGCCAGACCGGCCUCUCCUCACCAUCUGCUGUGUGCUGGGCAUGGAGGCGGGCCAGGCAAGCCAACAGGUACUCCCUCACAUGCUCACCUGCCUGUACCUCACACCGACACACACGGCCAAGUUGGCUCAGGACAUCAAACGGAUCUGACCACACUCACCCGAUUUAUUUAUGAAGACAAUGAGAGCAUCCCCCAGACUCAAAGAAAAAAGUGGACACAACACAUAAACGGGAGCCCUCAAUAUCCCCUGGCAGAGAAGCACACAGCUCGGAGUUAGACCCACCUGGUUGGAGUCCUUGCACUAGUCACUUCACUCCUCCAGCCUUCCUUUGUAAAAUUAGAAACCGCAAUACCUUCAGCACAGAGCUCUUACAAAGAGAAACAAGGGGAUGUGUAAGGCGACUGACACAUGUUUGGCGCACAACAAAGGGCUGUUCUUGAAACUAUUGGGUACGUGAGAGCAUGUUGCUGUCCCCACGCUUUGGAUAUCCAUGCUAUUUGUUGUCAUUAGCAGAUGCUAGCAGAACAGACACUGGUCAGACAUUUGAUACGGUUCAGCCAAGCAGCAACAGGCUUCUCUUCUGCUUUUCACCACGCGCUCUGGGAGCGACAAGUCAAAGAGCUCCUGGUCUGCUCAUUGUUUUAUCUUUAGGAAGCUUCUCCGUCAGCUGAAGCACCUCUUGCAUUGUGUAUGUGUUUGUUUGUUUUUGGAUGAGGUGCACCAAACUAUGGAAGUUUUAGUUAGAAAACGGCUGGUCUCUGGGGCCCCAUUGGUUGAGCGUCCAACUUCAACUCAGGUCAUGAUCUCAUGGCUCAUGAGUUCGAGCCCUGCGUCAGGCUCUGUGAUGACAGCUCAGAGCCUGGAGCCUGCUUCAGAUUCUUGUCUCCCUCUCUCU